AGUCAUCAACCGCGCCCGUUUCGUGCGGGUGCAGGUUGGAGCUGGGGGCGAUUUGCUGCCGCGAGGCUGCUCCCCCUAAAUGCUUCGGUUGGACCUUGUGGUGGUCGAAAGUCGACUCGGGGCGUUGUACUGUCCUCGCUCUACCCGAAAGUCGUCCCCACAGAGAACGUGUCCUCCCACGACCAGCCUGCAGAGUGGCGGUCAAGCUUUUAACUUUGAA
rnacentral:misc_RNA from 1 species